rnacentral:rRNA from 1 species
GUCGGUAAAACUCGUGCCAGCCACCGCGGUUAUACGAGAGGCUCAAAUUGAUAUUCUACGGCGUAAAGCGUGAUUAGAGAAAAUUAACACUAAAGCCGAACAUCUCCUUAACUGUUAUACGUUUAAAGAGAUAAGAAGCCCCACAACGAAAGUAGCUUUAACCAAAUCUUGAAUUCACGAAAAUUAAGAAACAAACUGGGAUUAGAUACCCCACUAUG